UCGAGUUACCACUCUAUAACCCUUUGUGAACAUACCUACAUGUUGCUUCGGCGGUCGGCCCCCCGGGCCCCCGGCCCCGCUCACGCGGGGCGUCCGCCGGAGGAUAACCAAACUCUGAUUUAACGACGUUUCUUCUGAGUGGCACAAGCAAAUAAUCA
rnacentral:misc_RNA from 1 species